ensembl:lncRNA
UCAGAAGUCAGCUGCCAACAGAUUAAAAGGCGACUAGAAAUGAUCUCAUCGCCAUUUGGAGACGUCUGGUCACAGGGAUAUCUGUAAGAUAACCAGGAAUAAUCCAGCUACGUUAUUCGAUUUUCUUGGAGAAUGCUUUGGUCUUCAUCUUUCUAUUUUUAGUCUUCAGUGUCAGACGCCAUGGGAAGCCAUCGCCACGGCAGUUCAAGGAUUACACGUUCAUUCAGAACAGGUAAAAGUUCUGGAAACUAAAAUCACUGAAAAAAACAGUCAGAGAUCAAAGCAUUCAAGGGAUUCUGGAAAGGAGGGCAAGUGGGAAGACAGGCUUUUGUGUUGACAAUUGCAGAAAAGCCUCUGAUGGAUGCUACAUCUCAGAGGAUUACAGGAAAUCGUUAUAUUUAUAAAGAAAGCAGAAACCUUGACCUUAAAAAAAGAAGGCUGCGGAGGACCUGUGGGAGCACCCCUGGCCAUUUAAGCUUUCAAGUUUAAAAUGUUUGUGGAGUUAAAUCAGCUCACUCUUGCCAGCCUGAGAACAGCCAGUUUGGAAAACAGAACUUGUAGGCAUGGAAACAGCAGGCAUCUUGAUAACAAAGCCCAUUGCAGGGUUUACCAGAGAAAAGCUGUAGAGAAUCCUCAAGAGGGAAAGGCAGACAGUACAAUUCUGCGAGGCCAGAUAGUAUGAAAUCUCAAAUGAGGGGUAACUAAAAUAUGCUAAGCGUCAGUAAUUGAGUGGAAAGAAUUAAGCUUUUGUGAGCCACAGUCCUUCAAGUGCUGCCUGUCUGCAAGUACCAGGGUUGCUAAUAACCAAAACAAUGGAAGUCAAAGACACCCAGAAGAAAUGUUUCAAAUUCUAUAUUCCCGCUACGCCCUUGAAGACCCAUUAAGAGACUGUCCAAAACUGAGCUCUCAUGAAUAUUGCUGCCAAACUGGAAAAUGUGGAAAUACUCUGAAUAGAAAAGGCUUUAUUGAGUGUCAACUUUCACAUCAUCUCCUUUUGAUCGUCACAAUAGUCCUUUAUGAGGAUGUUAUCUCUGCUGCAUUACAGAUGAGGAAACCGAGGCCCGGAGGAGUUGAGGUUGGUGAGAGGAAGAGCCAUGUUUCUGAUCCCAAGCCAGGACUCCUCCUCCCGUUCACCCUCCUCCAUCCUGCGCUUGCUGUGAUUCGGGAAAGGAUGCAUGGACACAUCCGGUAUCUGGCAACUUCUGGCUCAGCUCCUCUCUGCCGCAGGAUUGUGAUAUUUUUUCAGCAUCUCAUCUCUAGUCACAAAGAGCAGGCACCGGCAGACACCCUUUUGGUAUACAGAGCGGGUAUGUGGUUCCCUCAGAACCAGAAGGUGUUCUGCUUCAGGAGCACAGGACAGAAACAUUGAAGAAAAUGUUUUUAAGGCUAGAGAACCUGAAUUUUAUCACUUGGAGGAACAAGUCCACGCCUAAGGAAACAAAGGGUAAAUGUUCCAGGAAGAAAUGUCACUUCAACAUGAAGGUAUUACCCUGGAGUCAGGAGAGAGACAGAACCCUACCUACAAUGGCAGUAUGUUGGAGAAAAAGCCCUCUGUCAUCACACCACUUGAUAAACAAGCCACACAAAGCUUCUUGGCAAUUGUGGAAGUUUUCAACACAUAAAAGGAAAUACAUGGAAUCCAGUCAAGAGAGGAUUCCGGAGAGCAGAACCACUGUUACCUGCAAGGCAUGGCAAGAUCUUGAGUCUUGGACACCACUGGUGGAGGAGAUAGAUGUCACCUGCCACCAGCAUAUCUGUCUGCACUUCAGCCAUUGAAGUUACUGGGUGCUGCCUUUCCCUGCGUAUCAUUUUGCCACCAAGAAUUUACAAAGGGGCAGAGGACCUAGAAGAAAAGGGAUUAGAGCCUGACUCCUUCUGUUUAAGGGCCAAAGAUUGCAACAUAUGCCUGAUGAACUAGCAUGAUCCUAUGGGACACCCAAGGACAGAAAAGAACAAUAGAGACAUUCAUCAUAAUGAUGGGGAGGGGCUUCUGGAUGAUGGAUCCACACACAACAGCAAGGCCUAGGUAGAAAAACUGCUGAUGCUGGACCAAGUGUGCAGCUGAUGCUGGCACCCCAUUGCUCCAGCCACUCUGUCACAGCAAAUGUGCUAAAAGGCAAAUGGCUACCUACGGUAAUGGAAAGAGAUGUGACACCAAAAGCUGUGUGGCUUGGGACCCAGGGCGUUUUGUUGUGGGAUGUUCUUGGCUGAACAUGAGUAUGAGGGACCACCAGGAAUAGAAAGUCCACUCGGUUCCUUUGGCCACCUGCAGGGAAGCAGAGAUGCUGGUGACCAGGGAGACCUGGAGGAGCCGGGGCCAGCCUUCUAGGGUCAGAAGUGGUCACAUCCAGCUCAGAGUCUUCAUCUUCCUAGGAACCCUGUGGGCCUACCUGUCAUGCAAAUGUUGUCACUUAAGUACCAGUACAACUGGGAGUGAAAUAGAAGCAGGUGUUCUCUCAUCACCUGUAUCUGGGCUGCCUUCAGAUUGAAAGAAAGAGAUCAAGAAAGAGCAAAUUGGGCAGAUCAGUCCCAUUGUGUUGAGAGUUAGUGUCGGAGGACAAGAGAUCCAGGCCCAUUGCAAAAACAAUGACAUUAGAAAAUUUGGAGCAUAUCCUGCCCCAAUGACAGAGGCCAGGGGGUGUCUCUGUCCAGCUGACUCCUGCAGCACAUUAAUGCCACCACGAGAGGAAAGGCCACAAGCAGACCCAAACAGAGGAGAGAGGAGCAGUCAUUUCUGUGCUUGGCAUCAGUACUGACUUCCCGCGCAAUCUUGUCCACGUGAAAAUUCACAUAUAUCAAUUAAUUUUCAACAGUGCAUACUUGGAGUUUAUUACUUUAUUCUUGACUUACUCACAAGUACAGUCUGUGCUUAGCUGGCCAAGUAGGAAAUAACAAAAGGAAUGUAUGUACUUUCCAGUUUGGAAAGGAAUGUGUACUUCAUGCACAUUCGUCUUAUUUAUCAUGUUUGCUCAGUUUUAAGCUUUUUGCUCAGGAAGUAUAAGAUCAGUUUAAAUAAAGUAAAAAGGAAAUUGGAUUCCAUCAAUCAAUACACUAAAACACAACCACAAUUAGAUGUCAGAAGGUUAUACCAUUUCAUCACUUGUAAUUAAUGUUAUCUGUGUGGGCCACUUAUCAGAAAAUAUUUAUAUAAUGUUUCAUUUCCUACAAAGAAAUCCAUCUUCUGGCUUCCCCACAAAUUGAAAAAUUACAUAGUGAAUUAGGAAAAUAGAGAAAACUAUUGUAGCCUCAUUGACUAAUUUUGAAGUGAAAUUUAUUGUAAAAAAAAUAUUCUUCCAUCUAAAUCCUCAGACAAUGAAAUGGUUUUGAAGCUUUCUACUUAAAGAAAAAGUCUGACUUUAGAGUAACUAUGGUUGUAGGCCAUGCAGUCACUCUUUUGCUCAAAUCAAAAUUCAGUACUAAUAUUUAAAUCAGGAAUAAUUAAGAGGAAAUGUCUGAAGUGCACUUUUUUUGUUUUUCACCAGAAAUGCUCAUUUCUCAGAUCAGAAAAGAUAGUUUUAUGUUUCCUUCUUAUACGUGUUAAAUAGGGUCUUUUGACUCACUUGAGAAGUUACAAUACUUAGCAAUGAGAGAGAUAGGAAUUGUGCAGGAAAUGAGGACUCCAGGAGGCUAGAAUACAGCUCAAGAUCUGAAAGAUUCUGGUGCCACCCUGGGAGUGCGUGUGGUAGGCAGAAUUAUAAGAUGGCCCUGAAGAUUCCCACCCGCUGGUGUACACACCCUGUAUAACUCCCUCCCCUUGAAUGUGGAGAGGACCAUGGGUAUGGUGGGACAGUAGCUCCUUGGUUACCUUUUCAUAUGAGAGUCCAAAGUGGAAGACUGGAAUGAGAUCCCUCUGUUGGCCUUGAAGAAGCAAACUGCGAUGUUGUAGAGGGCGCCGUGCAGCAGGGAAUGACAGGCAGCCUCUAGAAGCUGAGGGCCUCAGUCCUGCAACCACAAGGAACUGAAUUCUGCCAACAACCAAUGAGCUCGGAAGAAGACCCUGAGCUUCACCUGACCACAGCCCUGCCAGACACUUCGAUUUCAGAUUGUGAGACCCUGAGUAGAGGACCCAGCUAAGCCAUGCCUGGACUCCUGACCCACAGAAAUUGUGAGAGAAUAAAUUUGUCUUAAGC